AUGGGGUGCAGCAGGCGCGAAACCUCCGCAAUGCGGGAAACCGCGACGGGGGGACCCCCAGUGCCGUGGCACAGCCACGGCUUUUCCGGAGUGUAAAAAGCUCCGGGAAUAAGGGCUGGGCAAGGCCGGUGGCAGCCGCCGCGGUAAUACCGGCGGCCCAAGUGGUGGCCGCUAUUAUUGGGCCUAAAGCGUCCGUAGCCGGGCCCGUAAGUCCCUGGCGAAAUCCCACGGCUCAACNGUGGGGCUUGCUGGGGAUACUGCGGGCCUUGGGACCGGGAGAGGCCGGGGGUACCCCUGGGGUAGGGGUGAAAUCCUAUAAUCCCAGGGGGACCGCCAGUGGCGAAGGCGCCCGGCUGGAACGGGUCCGACGGUGAGGGACGAAGGCCAGGGGAGCGAACCGGAUUAGAUACCCGGGUAGUCCUGGCUGUAAAGGAUGCGGGCUAGGUGUCGGGCGAGCUUCGAGCNNNCCCGGUGCCGGAGGGAAGCCGUUAAGCCCGCCGCCUGGGGAGUACGGCCGCAAGGCUGAAACUUAAAGNAANNNNNNGGGGAGCAC
rnacentral:rRNA from 1 species